rnacentral:rRNA from 1 species
CCUACGGGUGGCAGCAGUGAGGAAUAUUGGUCAAUGGGCGCGAGUCUGAACCAGCCAAGUCGCGUGAAGGAUGAAUGCUCUAUGGGUUGUAAACUUCUUUUAUAUGGGAAUAAAGCGUGGGACGUGUCGGAUUUUGUAUGUACCUUAUGAAUAAGGAUCGGCUAACUCCGUGCCAGCAGCCGCGGUAAUACGGAGGAUCCGAGCGUUAUCCGGAUUUAUUGGGUUUAAAGGGUGCGUAGGCGGAUUUUUAAGUCAGCUGUGAAAGUUUGUGGCUCAACCAUAAAAUUGCCGUUGAAACUGGCAGGCUUGAGUACAUUAGAGGCAGGCGGAAUGCGUGGUGUAGCGGUGAAAUGCUUAGAUAUCACGCAGAACCCCGAUUGCGAAGGCAG